UGCUGGAUGGAGAUUCUGUUUUCUCCUUGCUAAAAUAGAAGUGAUUUGCAGGCUCUCCCUAUGGAAUCCAGUUUGACUCUCCCUAGAGCUAAACACAGGCACACUAACCCCAAAGGGAGGAGGCGGGGCCCUUGCCGCCCCGCCCCGCCCUUUCAUUUGCAUAACGUCGUCCUUCCGCCUCGCCUCAGCCAAUCGCAGUUCAGGACUGGCCGGCUUGCAGCGCCGGGCCACCUCCCUCAUUACCAUCCCUCUCCGGGUGGCGCAGGGGAGCCGACCAAAGUUCCUGGCAAAGUAGCGAGCCUGGGAGCGCUGAGCACCGGCGUCUGGGCUGGGGAGGAGCGGUGCCGAGCGGGGCCGAGAGGGGCCGGACAUUGGGCAAGAGGAAAGGAAGGGGAGUAUCUUUCCCAGGGAUCUGAGCUGGGGUCUGCGUCCUGGCCACUGCGGUCCCUUAGCAUCCUGGCUGCGUCCCGAGCGCGCUCCACGCGCUUAGGCUGCGCCCUCGCAGGGCUGAUGCCGCAUCCUGCUCCGCUGUUUUGCGAUGUCGAGGGCAAAAGUGGAUGAGACGGGAGAGCCUGAGCAGAGAAAGCAGGACGCACGUCCCAGGAACCAGACAGAACUACUGGGGCUGCAGACCACAAGAACUGAAAUGAAAAAUUCCCAGGAGGGUUUCUACAUUAAAUUGAAGCUGGCAGGAGAGAGAAUAGUUAUUAAAAUUGCAGGAAAAUAAGAUAAAGAGAAAAAUCGUAUUGGCAGCCAGAGAAAAAACAGACAAGUUGCCUUUAAAGGAAUGGUGGUUAAGACUGACUUCACACAAACAUCUAGCUGUCUUCUCAACAGCAGUGAUGGAAGACAGAAGACAAUGGGAUGGUAUCUUCAAUGCACCAAAGGAAAAUAGCUGCCACUGUAGAGUUCUGCACCCCAUGAGUGACAAACUAAACCUGAGAGAGUUUGUCACUAGAAGAUACUACCUGAAGGUAAUCCUAACAGAUGUGCUUCAGGAAGAAAGAGAGUUAUACCAGAAAGAAGAUCUCAGAUGCAAGAAUGGUUGUAGAAAAAAGAAGGUAAAGAGCAUGGGCAAAUAAAAUAAACAUCAACUCUGUGAAAUAGUAAUAGUAUUUCUAGUAAGUAAAAAAAAAAAAGAUUAACUUAAAGUACCAGACAACAAAAUCAUAUGAGU